GUGAAUUGCAAGUUUAAAACAACCAUAAUGCAAGAGCCAAUUCCAACAUACACUCACGAUCACGACAGUCACCCUAAAAGUGUCCUUAUUGCAGCCAAGCCUCCAAACCAGGGAAGUCCCCUUUCCUCGGACUCUUUAGUUGUCCUCUUUGGUGGCCAUGCCAGGCAAAGACCAAGGGACAGCCAGUUCCCCAUUGUGUUACACAGGGCCGGCUUUGGGAAGUCCGGGGCACAAUUUGAACAGUUUCGACGGAGCCCCGGCAACCAAGAUUUUUUGUUGAGCACGGCAUGUCACAGAGCUGUGGGAGGGGAGCAGCCAGCGCGGGACCCUCUUAGGCGCGGGGCCCGAUUCGGGGGAAUCGGUUGAAUUGGCCUAAAGCCGGCCCUGGUGUUAUAGAUCCCACUUGGGGUGGGAAUUCUCUGUUUCUACAUUCCACCCUUUCACAGAAAGUUACCUGACCAGCCCCUACCCGCUGGGGUGGUCCCAAGUUUUCCUAAGACCAGUCUCUGCUUGGAUUCAAAGGACAAAGGAAGCUGUUUACUGGUGAUCACUCAGACAUCGAAGGAAACACCCUGGGUGGCUUUUGUUUGCACAUUUAAAGCCAUCAGCCAUUUCCUAUCCCAUCACACAAGGGUGAGACACACACCAAAGCAAGAUCUACAGCCCCGGCAGACUGUGACAUGGAGGGCGAUAGGUUCCCUCAAACAUUUUGUCCAAAGCAUCUCGGAGUUCUGCAUAGUUGUGUCCAUCAGUCCAGUUCAUAAAGCGGGGGAGGGGGGUUCGUCACAACGGUAACAGGUUGUCUUUCACGCUUGCAGAUUUCCGCUGGGAUGGCAUCUUUUCCAAAAGCCUUGCCACUUGACGGCAAAUGACUGACCUUGCUUAGCUCGUCUGCUGUGAGUCCCGCAUCGAGCUCUGGUGUAACAGACAAGACUGAUGCAUGCAGCCAAAUCGGCUACCCAGAUCCAGCAGAUUGUAUUACAGCUGGUCGGCCUGAACGCUGCUGGUCUGGCAAGAGAGCCGGGAUCCGCUCCUCAUGAGCCUCCCACGCCGGCAGAGCGACACCACCACAGUGUGCCGAGGAGACGUCCCCGAUUCGUACGAUGUGGAACAGCAUCACCAGAAGAGACCGAGAGAGCUGGCACCACAGCACGUCCCCCAGCCCCAUCCGCGGGACAGCAACCUAGCACGUAGGAAACCUGGAUUCAUUGCUGCAAAGGAGAUUGCUAGUUUGGUGCCAAAACUAACAGUGCUGAGAUUUUAGAUCCUAAAGGAUUGGCCCAGUGUGCUCUUGUGGGUAAGAUCCAACGUGUAAACUGACCAGGGAUCUGUGGCUGGUUCUUUGGGACCAGUCGGGUCCAGAGAUAGGUGAGAUUAACCCCUCAUUUGUGUGCAGGCCCGGGGCUCAUUGUGGCACAGGGAGAGGUGGGAUGUUGGAGGGGUUUCGCUCAGUGUGACUGGCUUGUGGCCUAUUUGGGAAGGUCUCCAGUCUGGGGCUGUAAAGAGCCCUUGUUUUAAGCAAUUUUCCAUGAGUGGACACCCUCAGCGGUGCCCAGACCUGGCCCAGUCCAUCACACCUCCCCUCCCCCACUCACUGUGAAUUUUGUAGAUCAAGUCAGCUGCCCAGGGCACAGCAGGGCUGCUCAGGGCCACAUGCAGCCUGGCCUAGAGCUGUAGAGUUUAAAACCAGACAGCGAUAGAUGAUCUGCCCAUCCCUGCCCACCCCAGCCUCCUGCCUGGUGUGGUUGUGAGUUGUGGACCAAAGUGCCCUCCAGAAAGGCCCCAGGUUCACGCUGGACAACUUCACGGGAUGGAGAAAGCCCCAGUGCCCUGGGAGCUGGGAGGAAUCAGUGUUGUGAGGGGAAGGGAACAGGCCACACUUGUGAGCACGUCUCAUACCCCACAUGCCCAGCGGCUCUGUGCUAAGGUUGCACAAGUCACUGUAAUUCUGGUGCUGCCGAGCUUUUAAAGGCCUGGUCUCCGCACAGAUCUUGGUCCUUACAGAGCCAUUGGGGCCGGGCUGUGUUGCUUUAUUCUGACCUGCGUACCUAUCCCAGCCCAGCUUCCAGUGAGUGCACAGAUCUAGCUCCACAAAAAUGCCGCCCACCGACAUAGCUCAUUCCCCUCUCUGCACUGGUACGCAGGCCUGUACACGGACACGGCUGAGUUCUGGUAGCGGGAGAAGGGGAACGAGCCCCCGCUCACCAGCCUGCUAGGCUGAGAUAAAACAAAGACGUGAGGCUCUCGUUCAGAGAUCGCCGCGCACGGCGCUUGGAUACGUGGCCCUCGGACACCCU